CUUUGUCAGUUUCUCCAUUCCUCUUGCACACCUUUAGUUUUGUUUUCUCUGUUCUGUCCUCUGAUUUGGGACAACUCCCACCGAUUCCCACUUUCGUUUACAUAGUAGCAUUAUUUUCAGUGAAUUGUCAAUGGAAUUACCCAUGUAGGGUAAGUUUCCCACUUGAAUGGGGGGAAGAGGAAGGUGCGGAUCCUUGUUGCCCAGUUCGUCUUUCCCAUAUCUCAAUUUCUUUGUUGCUGUUCCUGCUGCAAAUUUUGUAUCUAUCUCUCUCUCUAUAUAUAAAGAAAGCUGGAAGAAGAUACAACAAAUCUUGAUUGGUGGUGGUUCCUGAAACAAGAGUCAAGAGGGGGCCAAAAAUAAGUUGAAGCCCAUUUAUUUGGACAGAACAAAAGAAGAGGGACAUUGUAAAUUGGAUUAUUGCAAUCUGCCAUAUAUAUAUAUAGUUAUUGCAUUUCAUACUACAACUGAGGUAUGGGGAAGACACCAAAGAAGAAGAAACUAAGUGAAUCGGGAUCGAGGCAGAGCCUAGGCGGCGGCAGCCCCAGGACCAGCAGGUGCAACUCAAGGAGCAGCCAAUGCAGCGGAGGAGAACAGACGAGCCCCAAUCAUCCAGCUUCAGCAGCGCUAGCAGUGGAUGACGACGAUGCCGUCUUCAUUGGGCUGGCCUCCGAACUGAAGGAGGAAGGCACGAAGCUGUUCCAAACAAGGGACUAUGAGGGGGCAGCGUUCAAGUUUGACAAGGCGAUCAAGCUAUUGCCACAGGGGCAUAACGAUAUGGCCUUCCUACACUGCAACAUUGCAGCAUGCUACAUGCACAUGAAUCCUGAGGAGUAUCAUCGUGCCAUCGACGAGUGUAACUCGGCGCUAGAGGCGUCACCGACGUACACCAAGGCACUGCUCAAGAGGGCCCGGUGUUUCGAAGCACUAGACAGGCUGGAUCUAGCUUGUAAGGAUGUGGAGAAGGUUCUGAGCUUGGAGCCGAACAACGUGACGGCAUCAGAACUCUACGAGAGUAUUAAGGAGGUGAUGGAGAUGGAGGAGCAGGUCUCAUCGCUGGAGAAACAACGGCAGGUUGACGAGCCUACCGCAAUUAAUAUCGCAAAGGAGAGGAUACAAAGGAGGGUGUCGCGGAAAUUUAGAAAUUCCAUAGUCGAGGAGGAGGUUUGGGAGAUGAUGAUUCAUGAGAAUAAUGAAGAGCAGGAGGAGGAUGAUCAUGGGAAUAAUAACAAUAAUAAUGAGGAUGGCGAGAAACAUAGAAGCAGUAAAGAAGACGCCAUUAGCGAGUUGCAGGAGAAGCGCAGCAGCAGCCUGCAGGACAAGCAGCAGCAUCGUGAAGAGAGAGAGACCAAAACCUUCAGGAGCACCGCCGAGUGCAACAUGCAUUCCCUAGGUGGCGUAAGAAAUACUAACAAGGAAGCAGGGGGAGGGGGGAGGAGGCAUGCCCAAGCCCAAGAUAGCCAUGAAAAGCAUCUGGAGGAGAUACUGGUGAAAGGCAUCCAGCCUUCUGAGAUGCAGGGAAAGCACACGACAACACAGAAUCAAGCAGCCAGCAGCGUGGAGAGGCGUAAUAAGAAGAAUUUUGAGGUCGGCAGCCAUAGCAAGCAAGAGAAGCAGCAGCAGUAUGAGAGGUACACCAACGCCAACGCCAACGUAAGCCUGCAGGGGAAGCACUCCUUGGUGGAGGAAAAGUACGAGAUGAGGUAUAUGCUGCCAGAAAAGCAGAUCACUACCAUCAAAGCGGGAAAUAACUACUACGCUAGAGAAAAGCAUCCGAAAUACUAUGCUAGUAGGGAGAAUCAGAAUCAUGAAGCUGCCACUGCCAGCAGAGAAGUGGUAAAGAAGAAAUUCAAGUUCGUCCACGGGGAUGACAUACGGAUUGUUUUAAUUCCAGAAAGUUGCAGCCUGUUGCAUGUGAUGGACAUCGCUCGGUACAAGUAUAACCCACACCUCAAGUCUUUCCUUCUGAAAUUUAUGGACAAAGAGGGGGACCUGGUGACCAUCACCUCCACCGAAGAUUUACGGUGGGUCGAGGACCUCUACCCGCAAGUCCCCGUGCGGCUGCAUAUAAAAGAGGUGAGUCCCGAGCGGGAGAUCACUAGGGACCUGGUGAUGCCCAUGUCCUCCUCCUUGGCGGCGGAACACCGAGAACAACCGAGCCAUUACUACAGCAGCACCUCCGAUGACUAUGAGUGUGGAAGCUCGAAGAAGGAUGCAGACGAACGGAAUACUCAUCCUCCCUGCUGCACCACCGAUGACUGGAUGAUGCAGUUCGCUCGCCUAUUCAAGAACCACGCUGGCUUCGAUUCUGAUGCAUGUGUGGAUCUCCGUGACCUUGGCAUCCGGCUCUACUAUGAGGCCAUGGAGGACACCAUCACAAGCGAAGAAGCACAGGAGAUAUUUCAAGCGGCAGAGGCCAAGUUUCAGGAAAUGGCGGCGCUGGCAUUGUUCAAUUGGGGUAACGUCCACAUGUCCCGUGCAAGGAAGCGACUCAUUCUAUCUGAAGAUACCUCUAAGGAGUCCAUACUUGCCCAGGUGAAGUCUGCAUACGAAUGGGCCUGCACUGAGUAUGUCAAGGCCGGGAAGAAGUUUGAAGAUUCUGUGGAUGUAAAGCCUGACUUUUAUGAAGGCCUGAUUGCGCUUGGGCAGCAACAGUUUGAGCAGGCCAAGCUUUCUUGGCGUUACGCUGACACGUGCAAAGUAGACAUGGGAACCGAAGUGUUAGAACUCUUCAACCAUGCUGAAGACAACAUGGAAAAGGGAAUGGAGAUGUGGGAAGGGAUCGAGUAUCUGCGAGUCAAAGGGCUGUCUAAGUCAAGGAAGGGCAAGAUUGUAGUGACGGAUAAACUGGGUCUCAAUGAGCAGGGAAAAGAUAAUUUAUCGCCCGAUGAAGCCUUUGAACAGGCCUCAAACAUGCGUUCGCAGCUAAACAUUUCAUGGGGCACGAUUCUUUACGAACGCUCAGUAGUAGAAUUCAAGUUAGGACUCUCUAGCUGGGAGGAGAGUCUUCAAGAAGCCAUUGAAAAAUUUAAGACCGGAGGAGCUUCUGUAGCAGACAUCAGUGUCAUGGUAAAGAAUCACUGUGUCAACGGAAACAACCAAGAAGGAUUAAGCUUCAACAUUGAUGAGAUUGUCCAAGCAUGGAAUGAAAUGUACGAUGCUAAAAAGUUAAAAAAUGGUAGUUCUUCUUUCCGGCUCGAACCUAUAUUUCGAAGGAGGCCUUCAAAGCUGCAUAAUAUACUAGAGCACAUACACUACACGUGAGCUUGUAUCAAUCAUUAUUGGACUUCGAUACUGCAUACUUGGAUUCGAAUGUUGAUAAAUAUUUUCUUGUGAAAUAGGAGAACAUUAUGCUAUAGUCGUCGCUGAAAUGAGAAUGGUUUGAACACGGUUUUGCACACUAGUAUUUUGAUUUGUACUGCAUUAACACGUCCAAAGCGGUGUUUUCCGAACACGAGCAGAGCGAGUUGCUCAGAAUGCUGUUUUCUAGAGUAAAGAAUAUAGCAUCAAGUUUCACCUGUACAAAUGCCCUAAGUUUGUAUUGUAGAAAAAUAGAAAACUCAGCUGAAUUGUAACUUUGUAGAUGAAACACAUGAGUGAAAAGUUCGAAGUCAUGGAUUCUCCAGGAGAUACAACUUUUUUUCUAGAAAGAUUUCUGUAAAUUUUUCAGUGCAUGAGGUUAUUUUGUUCGUAUGAGAAUAUCUGCCAAA